AAUGAAUGCCAUGCGGUGCCUGAAGAGUAAUAACGGAGGCAAAUGACAAGGAAAGAACGAGGCAGGAAUCGGGAAGAUACAAUGGGCAGGAACAGUGAAAAGACCCACUGGCGAUCCAUAACCAGCGCAAGAAUCGUUUCGGCUCUGGAGCGCUAAAGAUGGAAGAGCCCGGGACCGUUUCUCGCCAACCGGCCCAAACCGGGGGGCCCAAUCUGGUGGAAACACACAAAUACACGCACACACAAAAUUUCCUUCGCUGACCAGAUUUCAAUAAAAUCUCCGCGCACACACA